ensembl:snoRNA small nucleolar RNA SNORA81
ACAUCCUUCUGCAUCCACUGAAAUCUGCUGUAAUCGCGUGAUCCAGGCUUUCUGUUUCAUGCGAUAAUGCCAGCAGAGUAUAGCGCAGAAGGAGAUUAUCGUGCACUGUGCUGAAAAUGAGAUGUGGUGGAACCUCUUUCUUAAUGUUCAUUGGCCUCCAUCUCAAGGCACAGUGCUACAAUC